AUGAGGACUCUGACAGGAACGCUGCUCACGGUGGCUAGAGUAGAGGUAGCGGGUCACGCGUUGAGCGGAUACGAGAAAGAAGAUAAACAAAAUGUUUGGAGGAAGAAGAUGGUGAUCCUGCCGUCCUUGGCGAAAUACAUAGUGCAAAUCGCACAAAGAUAUCGAGCCCGACCUUGGAGCCCAAUCUAUGAAAUUUCAAAAACUAGGAGAGUUUCAGAUAAAGUUAUUUUUUUAUCACAAAUAGUCCGCCGAACUUUGAAGACUCGUAUUGUCCUCCCGCCUCACCCUCCGUUUCAUAUUAGUUGUCGCUAA
rnacentral:rRNA from 1 species